UAAGGAAUAUUGGUCAAUGGGCGGAAGCCUGAACCAGCCAUGCCGCGUGCAGGAUGACUGCCCUACGGGUUGUAAACUGCUUUUGUCCAGGAAUAAACCUAGAUACGUGUAUCUAGCUGAAUGUACUGGAAGAAUAAGGAUCGGCUAACUCCGUGCCAGCAGCCGCGGUAAUACGGAGGAUCCGAGCGUUAUCCGGAUUUAUUGGGUUUAAAUGGGUUGGCGUAGGGCGGCCCUAUUAAGUCAGGGGUGAAAUACGGUGGCUCAACCACCGCAGUGCCUUUGAUACUGAUGGGCUUGAAUCCAUUUGAAGUGGGCGGAAUAAGACAAGUAGCGGUGAAAUGCAUAGAUAUGUCUUAGAACUCCGAUUGCGAAGGCAGCUCACUAAGCUGGUAUUGACGCUGAUGCACGAAAGCGUGGGGAUCGAACAGGAUUAGAUACCCUGGUAGUCCACGCCCUAAACGAUGAUAACUCGAUGUUGGCGAUAGACAGCCAGCGUCCAAGCGAAAGCGUUAAGUUAUCCACCUGGGGGAGUACGCCCCGCAAGGGUGAAACUCAAAUGAAUUGACGGGGUCAUAGCUGUUUU
rnacentral:rRNA from 1 species